rnacentral:tRNA from 1 species
CAAGUUAGAGCUUGUUAUAAGUAUUUUAUUUACAUUAAAAUGAUAACUGUUAAAUUCAGUUUAACUUGA